rnacentral:lncRNA from 1 species
UUUUUCAAAAUAUUUGAUUAUGUAUCGAAGCAGUAGUAUGAGAUAAAGAAGGGGUAUUCCGAGUUUAUCUUACCUAUCGGAGGCCUAUUGCAGCGCCACACACCUUUUUCACGCCGAAAGGUUCUUAACAAUUAACAAUUAACAAGAUUUAUGGUAUGAAAGAGUACGAAAAUCAAAAAAGAAGAUUAUUUUUGAUUUAUUUCUUUUUUGAUUUUGAUUUGAAAAAAAAAAAAAAGAAACUUUGGGAUUGCUGAAUCACAAAAAAAAUAAAUAUAUAAAGCAACGGAGCCAUCAUAGUAUUUUUGAACUCCUCAAAAAAAAAAGAAGGGUGGUAAUUGGAUCAUUUACCCAUCUGGGUAUAAUAGAACCCCCUUUUUAUCCUUGUUUGAUGAAGGGUAAAAAGCAAAUUCCAUUGGCGAGCCGUAUGCAAUGCGAAAAAGUGCCCGUACGGUUGUUCAAUUCUAUCUUUUUCUUUAUCUCUUCCCCUCGCCGAAUCGUGCGAGAUAGAGGAACCUUUUAUUAUGUUAUAAUAUAUCAUCAGGGUCAUGAUCCAUCAACCUAUUGGCGCUUUUUAUGGGGCACAAACGGGAGAAUUUAUCCUGGAUACGGAAGAACUACUGAGACUGCGCGAAAUCCUUACAAUGGUUUAUG